CCAUUGCUCUUCUUCUACACUUUUAAAACUAAAAGAAGAUAAGGAGGACAAAGUGCACGGAGAUGUUUGUUCAGGCGGAUAGACGAAUGGACUUCAUUUACAAGUAAAGGUUGGAACCAACAUGCCACGUUAUCUACAGAGUCCAGAAGGCUGAGCCCGUUGUCCUGCUGUGGGAGACGAGCAGCUUCCAGACGUCUCUUCAGGAGCUGGUGGACGAGAUGCCGGCUCAGAGUCUCCUGUCCUCAGACUCCAGAGGACAUCUUUCAUGCUGCUGGAGCUCCAAAGAAAGGCAACCGCCGCUCUCCAUCUGGUCCUGUAGUCCUCCAUCCGUCU